rnacentral:rRNA from 1 species
AACCUCCGCAAUGUGAGAAAUCGCGACGGGGGGAUCCCAAGUGCCAUUCUUAACGGGAUGGCUUUUCAUUAGUGUAAAGAGCUUUUGGAAUAAGAGCUGGGCAAGACCGGUGCCAGCCGCCGCGGUAACACCGGCAGCUCUAGUGGUAGCAAUUUUUAUUGGGCCUAAAGCGUCCGUAGCCGGUUUAAUAAGUCUCUGGUGAAAUCCUGCAGCUUAACUGUGGGAAUUGCUGGAGAUGCUAUUAGACUUGAGAUCGGGAGAGGUUAGAGGUACUCCCAGGGUAGAGGUGAAAUUCUGUAAUCCUGGGAGGACCGCCUGUUGCGAAGGCGUCUAACUGGAACGAUUCUGACGGUGAGGGACGAAAGUUAGGGGCGCGAACCGGAUUAGAUACCCGGGUAGUCCUAACUGUAAACGAUGCGGACUUGGUGUUGGGGUGGCUUUGAGCUGCUCCAGUGCCGAAGGGAAGCUGUUAAGUCCGCCGCCUGGGAGUACGGUCGCAAGACUGAAACUUAAAGGAAGU